rnacentral:rRNA from 1 species
UACAGAGGGUGCAAGCGUUGUUCGGAAUCAUUGGGCGUAAAGGGCGUGUAGGCGGUUUGUUAAGUCAUGUGUGAAAUCCCUCGGCUCAACCGGGGAACGACGCAUGAAACUGGCAAGCUAGAGUACCAAAGAGGGGGGUGGAAUUCCGGGUGUAGCGGUGAAAUGCGUAGAUAUCCGGAGGAACACCGGUGGCGAAGGCGGCUUCCUGGACCGACACUGACGCUGAGGCGCGAAAGCUAGGGGAGCAAACGGG